UCCGCCGCCGCCGGAGGAGAGGCAGCAACGAGCGCGAGGGGACUGAGAGGAGACGAGAGGGAGAGGGGAAUGGGAGGAGACGAGACGAGAGGGAGAGGAAGCGUGCUUGGGAAGGAAAAGGAACCAAAGACAACACGCUGCUUGAUGCCAAUCGCUAAACGCUUCCUGAUGACGUGGAUAUCGCGAGAAGGCGUCCUUUGCCCCACCAUUAAUGGGUUGUAUCGCUAGCACCCGCGCCUCCAAUUCAGCCAACGUCGGUCAUCUCCCGCUCCGUUCUCCACCGGCGUUGCUCCGCCUCGGUUUUUAACGUCCAGGCCCCAGCGCCUCCUUGUCGUCUCGGGCUUGCCGACCUGGCCAAGUCGUGUGAUGUUGGCGCCCCGCUCCAUCGGCUCUGCUGCGCCACGGUUUCCAACAGUCAUCUCGCCACCGCCACCGACUGCCAUCCUGUAGCAAGCGUGUUGCCGUACGGCGAGGUCCUCCCAUCGGCAAGCUCCGCCCCUGUCGGCAUCGUCUACCCAGGCCAAGUCCUCUUUGCCAAGUGCUGCUAAGCUCCGCCACGUCUCGGUCACUCAUCUUAAGUUCUUAACAAGUAGCGUGAAGGUACAAGUGCAGCUGCAGCAGAAGCAGCUAGAAACUUUGGUUUUGUGGUUCCAAAACUACACUAAAGUUGGGGAGAACGUGUACUUAUAGUGGUGUAUGUCUCAACGGUUACAGAUCACUGGUCCUUGAAAUAGGAAUCAAGUUCCCCUGUUUUGCAGAAACAUACACAAAGGGAAGGGGGAAGCAUAAAGUGCGGGACAAGGAUCCGAGCAAUGGAGCAGUAUAGUUACUCAGCAAUUUGAUCUUGAUCUCAAUGAUUUCAAUGCUGACUUGAAUCAUGUUCGGAGUUGAUCAAGAUUAGCCGUUGUAUUGUUAUGCAGUGGCUGACUAAUCUGAGAGAGAAUGGUGUGGAAUGAGAAGUGACGAGAUGUGGUGUUCCAACUAUAAAUGCCUAAAUUAUCUUUAGUAUAUGUCCAUAUAAAGAAUAUUAUGGU